CGGCCCCUGGACAAGACUGACGCUCAGGUGCGAAAGCGUGGGGAGCAAACAGGAUUAGAUACCUGGUAGUCACGCUGUAAACGAUGUCGAUUUGGAGGUUGUUCCCUUGAGGAGUGGCUUCCGGAGCUAACGCGUUAAAUCGACCGCCUGGGGAGUACGGCCGCAAGGUUAAAACUCAAAUGAAUUGACGGGGGCCCGCACAAGCGGUGGAGCAUGUGGUUUAAUUCGAUGCAACGCGAAGAACCUUACCUACUCCUGACAUCCAGAGAAUUUAGCAGAGAUGCUUUAGUGCCUUCGGGAACUCUGAGACAGGUGCUGCAUGGCUGUCGUCAGCUCGUGUUGUGAAAUGUUGGGUUAAGUCCCGCAACGAGCGCAACCCUUAUCCUUUGUUGCCAGCACGUUAUGGUGGGAACUCAAAGGAGACUGCCGGUGAUAAACCGGAGGAAGGUGGGGAUGACGUCAAGUCAUCAUGGCCCUUACGAGUAGGGCUACACACGUGCUACAAUGGCGUAUACAAAGGGAAGCGAAGGUGCGAGCUGGAGCGGAACUCAUAAAGUACGUCGUAGUCCGGAUUGGAGUCUGCAACUCGACUCCAUGAAGUCGGAAUCGCUAGUAAUCGUAGAUCAGAAUGCUACGGUGAAUACGUUCCCGGGCCUUGUACACACCGCCCGUCACACCAUGGGAGUGGGUUGCACCAGAAGUAGAUAGCUUAACCGCGAGGGGGGCGUUUACCACGGUGUGAUUCAUGACUGGGGUGAAGUCGUAACAAGGUAACCA
rnacentral:rRNA from 1 species